GGGGAUUUAGCUCAGUGGUAGAGUACUUGCCUAGCAAGCGCAAGGCUCUGGGUUCGGUCCCCAGCUCCA
rnacentral:tRNA from 1 species